GCCAGGUGUGGUGGCACAUACCUGUAAUCCCGGCACCCUAGGAGGCUGAGGCAGGAGAAUCAUGAAUUCCAAGCCAGCCUCAA
rnacentral:sRNA from 1 species